UGAGAUCUCAGACACUUAGCUUUAUAACCCUGGAAAAAUCAUUUAAUCCCUUUUCUCCCUCAGUUUUUCAACCGUUAAACAAGGAUAAUAACAGUGCCUACCUCCCAUGGUUAUUGUAAGAAUCAAAUGGAUGAUAUUUGCAAAGCACACUGCCUGGAACACAGUAUUAGCCUUACAGGCAUUGUCCACCUCGAGACCCACAUGUAAGUGACCUGCUGGAUGGGUCAUCUGGCGCCCAACGUGGGGGCCCCGAGGCUGGACACCUGCCCGGCAGAUUAGGAAGAAGCCCAUUCGUCCGGACCUGCUACGAGACCGCUCCACAGAGAGCCCGCAACUGAAAAGUGAGUAAUCAUCUGCUGCACUCAUGGGGACUAACUUAUCUAAAGAACAGGCCUUUAUUAAGGACCUUAAGAGUAGCCUUAGAGAAAGAGGAGUAAAAAUUAAGAAAAAGGAUCUUGUUCGGUUUUUCCUUUUCAUUGAUGAUGUCUGUCCCUGGUUCAUUGUCAACGGCCCUGAAAUCCACCCUGCUAAGUGGCAAAAGGUGGGACGGGAUCUUAGUAACAAGUUGAAAACCGAAGGGCCCAAACCCAUUCAUGUUCUUUCCUAUUGGAAUCUGAUCAAUGACAUUGUAGAAUGUGCCUCCCUUGACGGGGGUACAUGACAGUUACUCAUUUCUGCAGAGUCCUUUGUCCCGUGCGGCAUCCACCCAGUCUCUCCAAAAAACAGGGAAGCCGUCUUCACGACCUCCGUCAGGGAUCAUUGAGAUCCCUUCCGUCACGCCCAAGUCUAUCUACCCCCCACUUCCCAAAGAAGGGACUCCCCCCAUAGAAAGCAAUUUCACAUACCCCGUCUUCCCCGCCGCCGAACCUAAACUCCCUGUGAAAAAUGAAAGUGAAACUCAGGAUGCCCUUAGCGCCUCAGACGUUGCUGAAUUAGAAAGCAAGGCACAGGGUAUAUUCCACCUCCCUACAGCUUGCCCCUUCUUACCGCCCCGAUACUUAACCCCCCUGUCGCCCCGGUCAUUGACCUCACCACAGCUAAGCAAGACUUAACUGAAAAAGUAAAAAACCUUCGAGAAGUUCUAGACUUACAAAUUCAAUAUCUACAAAUGACGAACGAACUCUCGGCAUUACAACAAUCUUUACAAAGAACUCUCUCCCUCCCUGUGUCAGGGUAUCAGAGACAAUUACCCAAAGCAGUGAGACCCUUGAAGAAUAAGAGAAACCCCCCCUCACUCACAAAAAUUAAAAACCCCGCUCCUGCACAGCUUGCCUUCCCUGUGUUAAAAAGCCAGAAAACUUUAGUGGCACCAAAGGAGACAGAGGAGGAAGGUGGGGAUGAAGGGGAGGCGGAAGCUUCAGGGGAAGAAGAAGGAGUAGCAGAAGGCCAAGGAAAUCGAUUCGGCAUGAUUCAGCAUUCGGGAGAGUAAGUCUGUCUGGGUACCUUUUGGGGUACCAUCUGGUUAUGGUUCUGGUUAUUCUGGUUCUGGUCUGUUCUGUUGCUAGUAACCUGUGGUCUCAGAAUAAAUACCGACGGGUUUAAAAAUUCUGAGACGGGUAUUUUCUGGGACGCUGGAAAAUAUCCUCUGGGUAUAUGUUAUGUGUUAUAUGUUUGUUUAGUGUUAUAACUGUGUAGUCUGUGUGAUGUGUGUUCUAUGUUCUGUGUGAUUUGUCUGUUUUAUUGGUUGGAAAAAUUUUUUAAAUGGAGCUCCAUGUUUGUCUGUGUGUGUCUGUGUUAAAAGGUAGCAAGCUUGUAAGAAAUAAGGAUUCAGCCUCUGUGUUGCAGGCUUAGAAAAUAUCAAGAAGUUUGAAAAAUCUUUCUCUGUCUCUGGCUGACUGCAGCAGCCUGUGAGAAGAAGGGAGAAAAGGGAGAGAAAGGAAGAAAUUAAAAAAAAAAAAAAAAAAAAAGGAAAUGAAAAAAUAGAUUGAAAGGGAUUUGAAAGUUUGGAAAGUUAAUAUACAGCAGUAUGCUAACAUUUAAAGGAAAGAAGUUUGAAUAGAAUAUCUAGGCAUUCUCUGUGAAGGCAGAGAAAAGCACUAAAUGGGCUUGGAAGUUCACAGAAGCCCCUUUGGAUUCUGGAAGGGAAAAAGGAAACAAACUUCUCUCUGAGGGUGGGGAAUCCUAGAAAAAGCCCCUAGUCUGUUUUUGCUGAUUUAAAAGCUUUGUUAAGUUUUAAGAACAAUGAUUAAGAAAUUUGGAAAUUGGGUGUUUGAAAAUUUGCUUGUGAUUUUAAAACUUUUAACCUGUUGUACUAAUUUUGUAAGUACAUGGAAUUUAGCUAUUUUAAACGGACAGAAAAGGUUUUUUUUCCCCCCUUGAAACAAAGCUUACUAGAGUAAAGAGCAAUAAAAUUCAAGGUUAGCCUGGCCUGGGCAAUAAAAAGCUCUGGAGAUAAGAUGCUAAUAGCUGUUAGAAGAAAUGUGGUAGGAAAAAAAAAAAGAAAAAAACUUUUAAAAACAGCUGUAUUAGUUUGAUUCAGUUUGUUACCUUCUGAAAUAUAUUGAGUUAUUUAUUAACAUACUUUAAAACCAGCUCUGCUGGACAUGUGUGGGUUUUUGGAGGUUUGGGCUAUUCACUAUAGUAUGAAUCUUACAGGUUUUUGAAGGGAAAAGGAAAGAGGAAUACAGGUGAUUUAGGAAGGACUGAUUUGUAGGGAAAUUAGAGGUUUGCAUGGUUUUAGGAAGGUGAAAGAAAGACUUUUGGGAGUAGGUGAAGAGGUGGGGAGGAAGCCAUCCACCUCCACUGUCUUCUGCUACUUUACAGUAGCAUCAGGAGUAUCUGAUAGGAAAGUUCUUUAAGGAGAUUGUUCAAAUAUGUAGCCAGGAAGAAAGAGAAAGUUGGAAAUGGAUAAAUUUGGGAAGAAACCUCAUGUUGGGAAACUGAUGGGCUAAAUCUUGAAAAGGAUCCCCAUGUAGAAAAUAGAGUGGGGAACCUGAGGGAAGUUUUUUCUAGGGGGCAGGAGUGGGGGAAGGGUGGCCAUGUGGAAUCCUCUCCUCCCCUCACCCCUCUAGAGUGUGUUACUGAUGUUUUUUUUUUCUUAUCUGAUUACGGCCAGUGCAGCAAACUUUGAUUUUUUUAAGGGCAUGCUUACUUUUAGGUUAAUUGAUUGAAUAUUUGGGUUUUUUUUUUAAUACAUAAAGGUUUUCUUGGUUAAGAGAUAUGGUCAUAAAUGUGAUCCAUACGUUGGUACGAAUAUUUCUAAGAGUUUAAUUGCUAUGUUAUUAAAAAAAAAAAAAAAAACCUUUUUGAAUUCUUUUAUGUGGAAUUGGGUCUUUUGUAUAAGUUUAAAUUGAUUAUAUUGGGUCAUCCUGAGGUUAUUUAAAGGGCCUCUGAACAUAAUAGUUUUUUCUUUGUCCUUUUGAAGAUGUUUCUGUUAUGGACACUAUGCAGUUUGGGAUGGUUUUCUAUGUAUUGGGUAUUUUAAAAGCAAAAUGAUUUGUAUGUAUAAUGUUCACUUAUGUGACAUCUACCCAGAUAUGAUAAUUGUUCUAAGUUGUGAACUUAUUGAGACGAAAUUUCUUUCUGUUAUUACUACAAGAUUAGGGUAAAUCUUUGUUUAAGAGUUAUCAGAAAUUUGAUUAAUGACAUCUGUUAUUGGAGGUAAAAAUUCUUGGACUUAAGAGUUAAUUAGUUAAUGCUAUUGGGAGUUUUAAGGCUCCACCCUCUGACAGUUACUGGGAAAAUUGAUUGAUAAGCUGUUAAAACUCAACUGCUUAUGUUAUGUUAUAGUUAUGUUCUUGCAUUUUUCCUUCUGUAACUGAUCUCUCUGAUCAGAGCAAUGGUCAGUAGAAUUGUUAAUGCAAUUCAAUUAUGUCGUGCCUUGCUAUUUUCAGUCUGGUUAUAUGUAAUCAUUGUAUCCUAAAUGCUUGGGCAACUGAGUAUUUCGUCUGGUAAUCUGUCUGUUACUGGAUAUUUGUGUUUUGUUCCUUUAAGGUUUCUACAUGAUAAGUGGACAAUUAACAGAGGUCUGUAAGACUGCAGCCAUUUGCUUGGCCUGUAAAGCAAACUCAUCUCUUCACAUAGGAAACUGCUGGCCAAUUUAUUUUGGCCUCCUCAUGUUUUGCAGCAACCUGAUGAACUGAGUCUAUCUGAGACUGAUCUAAUCUUUAUUUGCUAGAUUUGUGUUUUUGCUCUAGAUUUUGGUCAAAUUACAGAUAUUGGUUUGCUUCUGGAACCUGGAUCAGCUUUGAUCAGCUUUGAUUGUCACCACGGCACACACCCACUCUGCAUGGAAUGAGAGCCUCCUAUCACUUCACAGCCUGAAGCAGCAGUUUGUACAUGAGACCAUGGACUGGACCCUGCAUCGAGUGUACUUUGGACUGAUAUAAGGGACUUUGGGAAUGGUUGAUGACUGACUGUUAAACCUUGCCUGGAUCAUCUAUUACUGUGUGUUUAAGACUUGGGAUGGGAUUUGUUAAAAUUGUGUAAUUAUUACUGUUAUGUUUGAGGGCUUUUUAGGAAAUGCUACUGUAUUAAUCUGUUAUGUAUAGGGAUUUUGAUUCACUCUCAGAAUUUAUAUGGGGAAUGGCCAUUUGAUAAUUCCUUUCCGUGAGAAAAAAAAAAGGGGGGGGGGGGGAGAUAGAGAUAGAACAUUGGGAAACUGGUAUAUAUUUUUUUCAAAAUACCUGAAAGAAUGGGAACGCCUAGCUCCUAUUCACUUUGCCUUAAGCACUUUUGCCCCACCCCCUAUCUCACUAGUUCAGAUUGAAUUUGGAUGCUUUAGUUUUAGAAUCCCUUAUUUUGUUAAAAAUCCCCCUGGCUGACAACCCUUCUUCCUACUCUUCCGGGACCGUUCGUGGCUAUUCUUCUUAUUUCUUUCGGACCUUGGCUGUUUGCUAAGUUAACUGGUUUUGUUAAGUCUCAGGUUGAUGCAGCUGUUCAGAAGAAAGUUCAAAUCUACUAUCAACGCCUUCCUAAGGCAGAUUCUUAUGAAAACCUCAACAUCAACGAGCCUGGUGCAGCUUUACAAUUUUCUACCAUGGUUAUGCAUGACCCCUGGUAUCGCAGAUGGUGGACUCGGUCGAAGUCCCCCUGUGCCGGCUGUGGGUGAGCCAAUGACGGGAUUAUUAUGGCCCCAUAUUUCAGGAACAUCAUACCCUCUGGCUGCAGGAACACCCAAUGACGGGAUUAUUGUGGGCCCGUUCUCCAGAAGCACACCCCGGAAGUUUGAUGCUGGGGUGCUGGGACGGAUGCCGCUCACAUAGCCUAAGACAGGGGUCCUGCCUUUUUCCUGGCCUUUAAGGUCGGAUUAUUUGGGUACUGAAUAUGGACACCGGCCACAUAGCCUAAGACAGGCCUCUCACCCAUAUAUAAAUAAAAAGGGGGACAUGCUAGAAACCAUGUAUAAAAGACUCUCCUAUACCUUAGUGCCUCGGGCACCCCAGGAAACAAAGAAGCCAAGAAGAACGUGACUACCUGUGCAUAAACUCUGAUAAGGUUAGCUAAAACCUUAUUGGGAACAAACAUCCUAAAUUCCUGAGACAAGAUAAUGUGUGUCCCAGGAAAUUGGCCAUCUCCGCCCAGGAACCAGAUAACGAGUAUGCCCCAGGAUGUCAGCCACACCUGUGGUCUGACAUUCUUCUCUUUUACAUUGCAACCCCCCACCCAGAAAUCAUAUAUAACUAAGACCCUUUUCAUUCAAUAAAUGAGAGACCUUGCUCCACCUCAA